rnacentral:rRNA from 1 species
UACGAAGGGGACUAGCGUUGUUCGGAAUUACUGGGCGUAAAGCGCACGUAGGCGGAUAUUUAAGUCAGGGGUGAAAUCCCAGAGCUCAACUCUGGAACUGCCUUUGAUACUGGGUAUCUCGAGUAUGGAAGAGGUGAGUGGAAUUCCGAGUGUAGAGGUGAAAUUCGUAGAUAUUCGGAGGAACACCAGUGGCGAAGGCGGCUCACUGGUCCAUUACUGACGCUGAGGUGCGAAAGCGUGGGGGAGCAAACAGG